ACGAAUGCACAAGCGGCGCCGGAGCUACUCCGUACUCCACCGUGAAUCUUCCCGCACCACCAUGAACGGCGCUAAGUCCUUGCUUCAAGAUCCCUCCUCUCACUCAGCGGCGACUAUGACGACAAACUUCACCUUCUCCGAUCAAAACUCCGGCCAACGGCGCGACGGAGAAUCCUUCCUCUCCAAUCAAACAUACCGCACCGUCCGGUCACCAUCACUUCUCGACCUCUCUUCGGUUCUCAAUACCUUUCUCAUCUUCCCCGAUUGAGUCUUAUUCUGAGACCGUGUUGUUGAUGGUGCUAAGUGUAGAUGAAGAUUGAUGAUGAACUCGGACCAGUGAAGGUUGAAGGAGGUUAUGAAUUGAUUCACCGCGUGAGGAGCGUUGCAGAUUAGUGAUGAAGAUGAAGGCGAUGGGAUUGUGGAGCGUCUCACGGAUUGUCGAAGCUUUGUAUUGAAUGGACGAAUUGCGAGUCGAAGGCGCGUUGCGAUAUUGCCUAUUGCAUAUGGUGAAUUGAUGAAGAUUAUAAAGAUUCGUUGUUGCCUUGGCUCUGAAGAAGAUGAUGAGUUGAAUUGAAGAUGAUGUUGUUCGGUGAAGGAGAUUGAUGAAGAUAUGUUGUGAUGCGCGUUGUACGAUGAUGAAGAUGAUCAAGUUUUGUUAGAUUCGUUAUAGAGAUGAAGAUGUAGGGAGAGGAUUUGUGAUUGAAGAUUGAUUGAAGGGAGAGAUUGCAGAGGUGAUGAAGACUGAAGGGAGAGGGAGAAUUGAAGAUGGUGGAACAAUGGUGAAGUGAAGGUUAUGAUCAACGAGAGAGAAAGCUCAGAGAUGAAGAAGCUAUGUCAUAUAGGUUGAUGGAAGAGAGGUCUGAAUGUAAAAUAAACGCGUGAACACCGAACCGUGAUAACUUGAAUGUUACGCAGCACUCAGAAUUUGGAUUGGACCGAAUGGCUCUGUCUUACUACUGUUGCAGGCUGCAGGUUGAAUUGUUGCAGAUAGUUUCACACCUUGGAUCGGUCUCCUCAUAUUGGAAGCUGCAAGUCAUUAGUUUCACACCUUGGAUCGGUCUCCUCAUAUUGGAAGCUGCAAG